GAUCAGCACGCCGCGGUGAAUACGUUCCCGGGCCUUGUACACACCGCCCGUCACACCAUGGAAGUCUGCAAUGCCCGAAGCCGGUGGCCUAACCACUUAUGUGGAAGGAGCCGUCUAAGGCAGGGCAGAUGACUGGGGUGAAGUCGUAACAAGGUAAC
rnacentral:rRNA from 1 species